UUAGCGGACAAAAGGCGCCUCUUACCUCUCUAAAAAUUCAUUUCUCGGGUUGUAGUCAAAUAUAUUUCCCAAAAGCGAUAAAAUCUGUAAACCCUAAUAUCCUCACUAUUGUUAUUCGGCGUUGAAUGCUUUGUCUCCCCUGAUUAAAGAAUUUUGAGGAUGGAGAUGUGGGUCAUGAGAAAGCCCCCUUUAAGUACGGCUCCUUCGAUUUGAUGAAGAAGGUUGCAGCUAGGCUUUGGAAGAACUGCAAUAAUCAAGGCAAUAUAGGUUUCGGAUUAAAGGUUCUGUGAACAAAUCAAUUAGAUGCCUGUUUGAGUUUGCCAUCAAAUAUAGAUGGAAAGGAAGCUGGCAAUAGUUGAGCUAAUGAAAAUCGUUUUGAAGACUUGAAGAGCUUAGAAGUUCCAGACCAAAAUAGAAAAUGAAUUUAAAAGUCAAGAUGCAAGAUUUUAAGACCCAAAUUGGUUAUCAUUUUGCAGUGACUGUAGGGAAAUUGUUUACAUUUUGUGCAAUGAAUGAAACAUGUGAUAGUAUCAUGCAACAUUUCUACAUAUGGGAUGCUAAUCCAUUUUUUGUAAUUUAAUCAUAUAUAUAUAU